rnacentral:tRNA from 1 species
GUUUCUAUGGCGCAAUUGGCUAGCGCGUCUGACUGUUAUUAAUCUGCUUGAUUGAUUUCAAAUCAGGAGGUUGACAGUUCAAGCCUGUCUAGGAACG